GCUCCGAUAGUGUAGUCGGCCAAUCAUUCUGGCCUUUCAAGUUUUAAGCGUGAUAUGCGCUGAAAUAAAGACAGCCAGUGACUCGGGUUCAAAUCCCGAUCGGAGCA
rnacentral:tRNA from 1 species